UAGAAAAUGUGCUCUUUUAGUAUUUCUCCAGCUGGUUUCCUGAAAAAGAAAGCCUCC
ensembl:snRNA U7 U7 small nuclear RNA